rnacentral:rRNA from 1 species
AUUGAACGCUGGCGGCAUGCCUUACACAUGCAAGUCGAACGGCAGCACGGGGCAACCUGGUGGCGAGUGGCGAACGGGUGAGUAAUGCAUCGGAACGUACCUUUCAGUGGGGGAUAACGUAGCGAAAGUUACGCUAAUACCGCAUAUUCUGUGAGCAGGAAAGCAGGGGAUCGCAAGACCUUGCGCUGAUUGAGCGGCCGAUGUCAGAUUAGCUAGUUGGUGAGGGAAAGGCUCACCAAGGCGACGAUCUGUAGCGGGUCUGAGAGGAUGAUCCGCCACACUGGAACGGAGACACGGUCCAGACUCCUACGGGAGGCAGCAGUGGGGAAUUUUAGACAAUGGGGGCAACCCUGAUCCAGCCAUGCCGCGUGAGUGAAGAAGGCCUUCGGGUUGUAAAGCUCUCUCGGCCGGGAAGAAAUCGCACGGGCUAAUACCCUGUGUGGAUGACGGUACCGGAAUAAGAAGCACCGGCUAACUACGUGCCAGCCGCCGCGGUAACAC